rnacentral:rRNA from 1 species
GACGAACGCUGGCGGCGUGCUUAACACAUGCAAGUCGAACGGAAAGGCCCUGCUUUUGUGGGGUGCUCGAGUGGCGAACGGGUGAGUAACACGUGAGUAACCUGCCCUUGACUUUGGGAUAACUUCAGGAAACUGGGGCUAAUACCGGAUAGGAGCUCCUGCUGCAUGGUGGGGGUUGGAAAGUUUCGGCGGUUGGGGAUGGACUCGCGGCUUAUCAGCUUGUUGGUGGGGUAGUGGCUUACCAAGGCUUUGACGGGUAGCCGGCCUGAGAGGGUGACCGGCCACAUUGGGACUGAGAUACGGCCCAGACUCCUACGGGAGGCAGCAGUGGGGAAUAUUGCACAAUGGGCGGAAGCCUGAUGCAGCAACGCCGCGUGCGGGAUGACGGCCUUCGGGUUGUAAACCGCUUUCGCCUGUGACGAAGCGUGAGUGACGGUAAUGGGUAAAGAAGCACCGGCUAACUACGUGCCAGCAGCCGCGGUGAUACGUAGGGUGCGAGCGUUGUCCGGAUUUAUUGGGCGUAAAAGGCUCGUAGGUGGUUGAUCGCGUCGGAAGUGUAAUCUUGGGGCUUAAACCCUGAGCGUGCUUUCGAUACGGGUUGACUUGAGGAAGGUAGGGGAGAAUGGAAUUCCUGGUGGAGCGGUGGAAUGCGCAGAUAUCAGGAGGAACACCAGUGGCGAAGGCGGUUCUCUGGGCCUUUCCUGACGCUGAGGAGCGAAAGCGUGGGGAGCGAACAGGCUUAGAUACCCUGGUAGUCCACGCUGUAAACGGUGGGUACUAGGUGUGGGGUCCAUUCCACGGGUUCCGUGCCGUAGCUAACGCUUUAAGUACCCCGCCUGGGGAGUACGGCCGCAAGGCUAAAACUCAAAGGAAUUGACGGGGCCCCGCACAAGCGGCGGAGCAUGCGGAUUAAUUCGAUGCAACGCGUAGAACCUUACCUGGGUUUGACAUGGAUCGGGAGCGCUCAGAGAUGGGUGUGCCUCUUUUGGGGUCGGUUCACAGGUGGUGCAUGGCUGUCGUCAGCUCGUGUCGUGAGAUGUUGGGUUAAGUCCCGCAACGAGCGCAACCCUUGUUCACUGUUGCCAGCACGUUAUGGUGGGGACUCAGUGGAGACCGCCGGGGUCAACUCGGAGGAAGGUGGGGAUGGCGUCAAGUCAUCAUGCCCCUUAUGUCCAGGGCUUCACGCAUGCUACAAUGGCUGGUACAGAGAGUGGCGAGCCUGUGAGGGUGAGCGAAUCUCGGAAAGCCGGUCUCAGUUCGGAUUGGGGUCUGCAACUCGACCUCAUGAAGUCGGAGUCGCUAGUAAUCGCAGAUCAGCAACGCUGCGGUGAAUACGUUCCCGGGGCU